rnacentral:rRNA from 1 species
UACGUAGGGGGCAAGCGUUGUCCGGAAUUAUUGGGCGUAAAGAGCGUGUAGGCGGUCCGGUAAGUCAGCUGUGAAAGUCAAGGGCUCAACCCUUGAAAGCCGGUUGAUACUGUCGGGCUAGAGUUCGGGAGAGGUGAGUGGAACUGCGAGUGUAGAGGUGAAAUUCGUAGAUAUUCGCAAGAACACCAGUGGCGAAGGCGGCUCACUGGCCCGAUACUGACGCUGAGGCACGAAAGCGUGGGGAGCAAACAGG